UAUUCUGCACUCACUUCCAAAAUCAGUGCUCUUACUCUUUCCUUUUGUCUCCACAGAAGCUCUGAUAGGGUUUGGGUCUUACUCGUCUUCGCAAUAGCUCAACUCCAUUUUUCAGUCCACCUUACGAAUUUGCUUCGGGAGCUGUUGUACUCAUUUGCUUAAGUGUCAAAGAACUCUGCUCGCUCUUUCCAGGAAUAUCUAGCUUUCGAAGAAGGUUUUAUGGUUGAAUGGGGAUCAAAAUUGUCAUUUGGGAUGAACUACUUUACAGAUCCAAUGGUGAAUGUUUUUUAUAUGGAGUUUGAGGAAGGGUUGAUUAGUAACAAAUUGUUUUGUAUAUCGUUUGAUUUUGAAGAGUUCUAUGAUCUAGAUGACGUGCAUUAUAUAUGUACUCUAUUUUGGGGAGAUUGAUAUUUCCGAUUAAGGAUUUUUAAUAUGGGUUGGGAUGAAAUACGAUAUCCCUGCUUAGCAAGUGUUGUUGUUGUUGAGGAAAAUUUGGUAUGGUCUUGAUUUUUGUCUUCAUUGAGGGUGAA